rnacentral:lncRNA from 1 species
UAUCAAUUCCAUUCCUUUGUGAAUAAUGGUUUUGUGAAUAAUCAGUCAUUUUGUGUUUCUGGACAAUGCAAAUGGAUUCCACUCAGCAGUGUUAAUUUUAAUUUUCUAGUCAUUUGAUUUUCAAGUUUUUACAUUUACAAUAUAAGCUUUUUAUACUUUAGACAUUCAAUUGUUUAAUUAUUUAAGUCACCAAUCAUAAAUAAAAAAUAAAUAAAUAAAUAAAAUAAAUAAAAAACAUCCGACUUUCCAUUUGUUGACUUUUUGACCGACUUUGACAGAGCCCAAUAUCAAAAUGAAGACCGAAGAGGAAUAUGUUGAAAUUUCUAUAGCCCUUGCUUGUUGUUUCUUUAUGUAUAGAUAACAACAUCUAACAGAAACAAAUAAUACAACACAUAUAAUAAGCAAAGCAAUUAACACAUCUAUCUAACAACUACAAAGCCAAUUACUGUUUGAGAAAAGAAUUGUUAUCCCAACAGUUUGUGAUGCUUAACUACUCCAUGACUCAAAAUUCUAUCAAUAAUUACUAUAAGAAUUUUUUGAGACUGCUGAUCAGGAAUCCUCAGAGGAAUAUAUGCCAAAAUGACCAUAUUGUCCUUUUUAAUUCUCUAAUCCUUCUUUGAUGUACCUGAAAGAAAGUGAGCAAACCAAAAUGAAUGAAANAAGUGAGCAAACCAAACCAUGAAUGAAAGGGCAUUUUGGUCAUUUGAUCAACACUCAACUCAAGACAUUUUUAAUGAAUCCAUUAGUGGCAUCACACUAGGAAAACUUUGCAUCUCCAUCAAAGCCAAAACGCUUCCUUGUCCUUCGUGAACAGUUGUAGUUCCUUUGUAUUUGUAUUUCUGCUCUUGUUUUUCUGUUGCGAAAACAGAAAUCAAAUCUCUUACCUUUAAAUUUGAACCGCUACCUGUGUUUGUCUAUUGCAAAAACAGAAAUCAAAGCUCUUACCCUUUAAAUUUGAACCGCAGGUCCAGUGGUGGGAUUUUCAGGUUGGUUGAAUUAUUGGAGGUGCCAGGCGAGGCGAGGUUGGCCGAUGAUGAUGAUGUUGCGACAGGGGAGAUGGAGAUGAAGGACCGAUUAGUGUGGGAGGAGGAAGUUAAGUAUGUGAGGAGGAGGAGGCGUAUUCAAUUUAGGUAUUAGUCGUACUUAAUCAAAAUGGGGGCGUAUUUUUAGUUAUUUGAUUUUGUUUCUAGUAAAUCUCAUUAACCAUAUUAAAUGCUGCAGUUAACCGUAUUAGAUGCUGCAAUUGUAUGUAUUAUAUUUAUUUAUCCC